GACGAACGCUGGCGGCGUGCUUAACACAUGCCAGUCGAACGGAAAGGCCCUGCUUUUGUGGGGUGCUCGCGUGGCGAACGGGUGAGUAACACGUGAGUAACCUGCCCUUUACUUUGUGAUAACUUCAGGAAACUGGGGCUAAUACCGGAUAGGAGCUCCUGCUGCAUGGUGGGGGUUGGAAAGUUUCGGCGGUUGUGGAUGGACUCGCGGCUUAUCAGCUUGUUGGUGGGGUAGUGGCUUACCCAGGCUUUGACGGGUAGCCGGCCUGAGAGGGUGACCAGGCACAUUGGGACUGAGAUACGCCCCAGACUCCUACGGUGGGCAGCGGUGGAGAAUAUUGCACAAUGGGCGGAAGCCUGAUGCGGCAAUGCCCCGUGCGUGAUGCCGGCCUUCGGGUUGUAAACCGCUUUCGCCUGUGACGAAGCGUGAGUGACGGUAAUGGGUAAAGAAGCACCGGCUAACUACGUG
rnacentral:rRNA from 1 species